GCAUCGCGGUGGCGGAGCGUCGUUUGCGACGCCCAACACACAAAACAAGCGGUGAGUGCUUUGGGGUGGGGUGACUGCGUACCUUUUGUAUAAUGGGUCAGCGACUUAUAUUCUGUAGCAAGGUUAACCGUAUAGGGGAGCCGAAGGGAAACCGAGUCUUAACUGGGCGUUAAGUUGCAGGGUAUAGACCCGAAACCCGGUGAUCUAGCCAUGGGCAGGUUGAAGGUUGGGUAACACUAACUGGAGGACCGAACCGACUAAUGUUGAAAAAUUAGCGGAUGACUUGUGGCUGGGGGUGAAAGGCCAAUCAAACCGGGAGAUAGCUGGUUCUCCCCGAAAGCUAUUUAGGUAGCGCCUCGUGAACUCAUCUUCGGGGGUAGAGCACUGUUUCGGCUAGGGGGUCAUCCCGACUUACCAACCCGAUGCAAACUGCGAAUACCGAAGAAUGUUAUCACGGGAGACACACGGCGGGUGCUAACGUCCGUCGUGAAGAGGGAAACAACCCAGACCGCCAGCUAAGGUCCCAAAGUCACAGUUAAGUGGGAAACGAUGUGGGAAGGCUCAGACAGCCAGGAUGUUGGCUUAGAAGCAGCCAUCAUUUAAAGAAAGCGUAAUAGCUCACUGGUCGAGUCGGCCUGCGCGGAAGAUGUAACGGGGCUAAACUGUGCACCGAAGCUGCGGCAGCGACGCUUAUGCGUUGUUGGGUAGGGGAGCGUUCUGUAAGCCUGCGAAGGUGUCCUGUGAGGGAUGCUGGAGGUAUCAGAAGUGCGAAUGCUGACAUAAGUAACGAUAA
rnacentral:rRNA from 2 species